UCUCGCGAGGUUUCAGGAGAUUAUAUCUAGGCGCGAGAAGCCUUGGUCUUUUCCCAGCGUGAAUCCGUUCUGUCUGUCUGUUCUUUGGAGCAGAGUUCAUUCACUUCUGUCCGCGUUCUCUCUCACCUAAGUGCGUGCCACCACUCCAUGGAAGAUUCGAUGGAUAUGGACAUAAGCCCCCUGAGGCCCCAGAAAUAUCUUUUCGGACAGUUUAGCAGCUGGUGGGAAGGAUGAAGUGCACAUUGUUGAAGCAGAGGUUUAUGAAUGUCAAAGGCAGUCCAAUUAAAGUAACAAUGGCAACUUUGAAAAUGCCUGUACAGCCAAUGGUUCCCCUUGGGAGCUUUGAAAUUACACAACCUUUUGUAUUAAGCUUGAGGUAUAGUCCAGAGCUUGUGCAUAUUAGUGGACAGCACUUAGUGGUAAUGGUGAUGUUUUUGAUCAUGAUUGUGAGGAAAUGGAAGAGAAAAUUCCAGGGAGAAAAGCUCCCAAUUCUUGAAUACCAGAAAAUGACUACAGCAAAACUGAAAAGAAAUUGGAACAUUAUUCCAAAAGGUCUGGACCAAGUCAUUUGGAGUUGAACACAGUGGAAAAGCAUUUUGUAUUCCAUGUAAUAAAAGAACUUGUGUUGCACACCACGUGUCAGAUGGCACCUUGACACCAACCACAAAAGUAUUGCCAAACUUGAUGAAACUGAAGAAAAGUAUUUCUUUAAUGGAAAUUGAGGAAAUAUUCCCAGCGGCUUAGUUUUUGCAACUAUCUCAAAUACAUCGCCUAGCAGUUUUCAAAUUUCACUGUAUGUAACAAAACAUGUACUGUCUGAUAGAGGUCUUUAUCAAAAUGGCCAUGCUGUGUGAGAGAAAUUCCCUUUGUCAUGAUUCCCCAAACAAGUUUAAAAUUAUGCAAUGCAACUGUGAGGUGCCACUUAGAAAUACUAUAAGCUAGGUGUGGUGGUCCAUACAUGUAGUCCUCAAGAGGCUGAGGCAAGAGGAUGGUUGCCAGUUAGAGAGCAGCCUGGGGUACAGAGUGAGCUAAAGGUCAGCCUGAACUGCAUAGUGAGACACUGUCUCAAAAAGACCAAAAGAGAAAUACUAUAAGAAUAAGUUUUGUGCAUCACAAGAGAUGUUAGCAACACAACACUGAAUUACAAAAGGCAGCUGUUGACUCCGUGUGAUUUGGAUAAAAGCACAGAUAUGAAUAAUGCAAAUGUAGCAGUAAUUUUGUAUUGUGCUAUUGGUGACAUCAUGAGAGAGCUCUUGAAACUUGUCUGCCUUGAAGAACACAGGGAUAGAUACCAGCAGUGCUUUAUGGAGGAUUUUUUUGUCACAAGAGAUAAGUCCAAAAAAUGUGGUUUCAGUUAUUCAUGAUGGGGGAACUUUGCGUGGGGAGGAGCAACAUCUGGUUUCUUAUAGUUCUUUGUCAAAUGAACAAAACAUACAUUCAGUUUCAUUGUAUUACAUACCAAGAAGCUCUUUGUUACAGAGAAAACAACAAAAAUUAGACAAUAUCCUUAAAGAUGUGCCAGAAAUGGUGAAUUACGUUAUGAUUUAUGUUUGUAAUUUUUGACAGUUCAGCACUUGGUUGAUGAGGUUCAGGCACACUAGUCCUUUAUUUAGGUACAGUGACAUCAUCCAGUGACUGAGUACAGGACAAGUCAUAGACUGGAUGAAAUUAGAGUGCUUAUGAAUGAAAAUGGGUAGGAAUAUCUAGAGCUCACUGCUUGCUUUAACAAUCUUUUUUUUUCUUUUUGCAGAUUUUACACCUCAGUGAAUAAAAAACUGCCAAAGUACAGGGAAAAUAGAGUGAUUUAUAGUAUUGAAACAUUUUUAAAAAACCUUAAAGUUGGGCAACUGAAAUAUUUUCUGAAUAAAGAUGCAUUUAGGUAAGACAUGCAAACAUUGUCAGUGUGAGAAGCUAAAAGAAACCACAUAUGUAUGUGUAUAUGUAUAAAAUAGUUAAGAUAGUUAUACUUCUGAGUUCACUGAAGAGAAAGAUAUGUGCUGGUAUUGAUCAGACAAUUGAAUGCAUAUGUCUGGUGCUAUGGGAAUGUCGGCAUGCAACAUAUGUAUGAUUGUUGCCCCCUGAUAUGUUUUGAAAUUUUGUUUUAGGUUUUUUUUUUUUUUUUCUUUUUUCUCCUUGAAAUAAAAUAGACUUGGAAAUAAAUAAAUAAAAUUGCAUUUAGAAAAAUCACGAUUUGCAGACAGUUUUACAAACUACUAGGAAAUCCUGAAGGAAUUUUCUAGUAUUGUUUUUAUACUUUCAUAUGAUGGAGACAAGCCUGUGUUUUCUUACUGCUCCAGAUAAAGCCAGUUUUGAAGAACUUGAUUUUUUUAGCUUUACACUGGUUACAUUUUGGAAAUGUGGAAAUGGAGCUAUUGGAAUUUCAAGAAAGCUCUAUCUGGAAAAAAAAAAUAAUGAACUGUGCAACGCUUAUGAAGGUAGAGGGUGAAAGAAUGACAAAGGACAGUGUAGUUGGUGCUGAAAAUGGAAUCCCUGAAGUGUGAGCUGCUCUGCCAAAUAAUUUUAAGUCAAUGAAAGCAUUUGGGAUUGUUUUUCAUUUUGUUUGGGUCAUCCUAUGCUGGUGAGCAGCUGUUUUCAGCUUUCAGUUGUAUCAAAUCUGAUAGGAGAAACAAACUUAACAGAUGAGCUGAGAGCUGUACUUGUUGCUAUCAAACUACAAGAUUGAGCCAUGGUUUGACAGAAUAUCACUAUAAAUGUAAUAGCAAAGAACACACCAAAUGCAAACCUCAAUUUCAAUAAACUAUCAUUGAAGCUC